UUGCGUGAAACCCGCAGCAGCGUCGUACUCAUACGUGCAGGAGCAGGACGCAGGGUGUUCAGUCAGUGGCCCGCGCCUCCCCCGCUCGGCCCCUGCGGGAGCAUCUCCAUCAGCUUGGACACCAUCGCCUCGUACGCCGACCCCGCGGCGGCCGGGCUCGGCGGCACGGGCCUCGCGGCGUCGGCGCACCGCGCCGCCAGGCACAGCGCCACGACGGCGGCGAGAAGGACGGCGGCGGCGAGCGUUGCACGGUGGCCCAUGACUCUUGAUCUCUGCUACUGCCUGUGCUCUGCCUCAGCUCCGCUGUACGUGUCUCGGCAGGCUUCUUGA
rnacentral:misc_RNA from 1 species